rnacentral:tmRNA from 1 species
GCACUUUUUUUUCAGUUGUGAUCCGCCUAUAUUGAAAGCGCCGGAGCAAUCCGGAUAUGGCGAUAAAUGGCCAUCGGAAUAAACCGAUCGGACCCGGGGGCAGUACCCGGCGCCUCCACCACCAGUUCAUUGGGCACGUUUCGUCAUCGAAGUAUUUCGACGUGCCGCACCGCUCGGAUCUCCCGAUCGGCCUUUCCAGUGAACUGCUGAUGGGGGCGAACCAGCAUCGACGAAGGCGUAAAGGGUGUGCUUUUGCCCGGUAUGGUUCCACCGUUAUCGGACCAUCCAGAAUAGUUGCAAAUGACAACUAUGCUGAGGCUGCUCUCGCUGCGUAAUGCAGUGCGAAAUGCCUAAACUAAACUCCUUGCUCUUAGCCGGGUAAGGCGCGGUUCGGAGGGCACCGGGCAACAGAAGCCCUCCACU